rnacentral:lncRNA from 1 species
GAUGUGUCAUACGCGGAAGUAUUGCAGGUUCCAGAAUUUAUAUUUUUAGGUAGCGUUUGGUUCCGGUAUAAGUAAGAACUAACUAUUACAAGGAUAGGUAGAAGUAUGGGGAUAAGAAAAAUAGCGUUUGAAUGAAAAUUAGAUUGUUUCCGGAGAUAAGAAAAAUAACGUUUGGAUAAAUAAUAUGGAAUAAGAAAAAUAAUAGAUAGUUAUAUAUAGAAAAUGAAGAUGUUGGUGGGAAUAAUUAUAUCCAAUUAUUAGAAGUAACCGAAAAUUAUUAUUUUCGAGUAAAAAAUUAACGUUUGGGUAUAAAAGGGAUAAGGGGUUAUCCCUUAU